UGCUCGCGAUGGCAGGGUACCCUCAAUAUCCACAGGGGUCGUACGCCCCCCCACUGCCCCCCGCCCCCUCAGCUCCCCAAUACUACCCCCCAUACCCCCAGCAGCCCUACACCCCCCCUCCACCCCCGCCGACGCAAGUGGUGGUCCAGGAGCAGCGCCCCCCGACGGUGGUGGUGCAGGCCCAGCAGCCGCCCCCGCCUACUGUGGUGGUGCAGGAGCGGGUGGUGGUGCGCGGGAGACCGGCCGGGGCAGGCCUGGGCGUGGGCAUGGGCUUGGCGAUGGGGCUGGCAGCAGGCAACCACCACCCACACCACCACCAUCACCACCACCGCCGCCACCACCACCACCACCACCGCCACGGUUGGUGUUAGUGAUGGGCGGACCAGCAGCAUGAGGAAGAGGAACGAGAGAUAAAAGAGGAGGGAGAGAAGGAGGUGGAAGACGGGAAGCAGGAACAUACAUACAUGAUUUCUCAAGCCUAUAUUUUUUUCAUAUAAAUACAUUUUUUUUUAUUUCACCAGAGCCAUUUUUUUUUUUGGUAUAAAAUGAUUUGUAAUUUUCUUCCUAAAGCAUUUCCACAAAAAAAACUUUUCGACGAAUCAUCACAUUGUAGCCCGGGUGAAAAUUUGCUCACAAGCAAACAAAAUUAAUGUCCAGAAACAAUACACAUGAGCUCAAACACUAACAAAUUUUUGGCUGGAUGAGGAUCAGUCAACCGCUAGCGGCCUUAAGUUGCGUGCACAGAAAACCGGUAGGCGGGAAAUGUGGACAGGCAGCCAGAGCCAAUCCAUCCCCCGUGUCAGACCACGUCCGCCCCGUGCCGGUCAUUCCCCGCCCAUGUGAUUCCAUUCCCCCACAAGACAGUCCGUUCCCCUUUACGUCCACUUCCCGACCCAUUCAACUCCAUUGUCUCCCCCCCCCCACUCGUGCCAGUCAGGCCCCCACGUGGCUGUCGGUCCACUCCAACAGGCAGUGUGUAUGUUCAGCUUGUAAUGCAUGACACUGAUAAUUAUCUUAGUAGGUUGUGUUACUAGACUGGAGUUUCCCUACCAUCAGGAAGUGGAUAUGAUUGAAUUAUAUCUUCAAAUAUAUAGUAAGGUAAAAUACAGGGUAUGUUUGAAAUUGUCAAUAAAAAUGUUAUGUUGGAUGAUCCAUUAACAGACCGGUGCAAGCUGGCAGGUAGGCAAGGUGUGUAAGGCUUGUAAUUAUGUAAGGUAAACCACACCAGUACUAUCGCUUUUAUGCGCUGGCUGCCGCUCCUCAUCGCUUCACGGCCCUGUUACAAGCACUCUGUUCAUUCAGCUCAUUCUUAACUCAUAACGUUUCUUUCUUUGGACACUUUCUCUCUCUCUCUCUCUCCCCUGAUCAUCUUCGUCAGGACAACAAUGCACUUAAUUGAUGGACUGUUUUAUAUGGUAGACUUUGCUAUAUACGAACCUACAAUCUAUUUUUGAAACAAUGAAGCUUAUGAGUGGAAGUUUCAAUACAUCAUAUUUACGUAUUUCUGGGGCCUGUGGGCUACGUGGCUUUUUAGUGUAAAGAAGCGACUGAUAGAAACACAUCAGUCACCAUAGUAAGAUGACUCGAUAUUGCUUCGUAUGCGUCAUGGAUCGAUGGAAUAAAUAAUCAAUAUAUGUUAUAUCGAAAUGCACAAUGAUCAAAUAAAAUUCCCGUUCUGACUGAAACAUUCUUUUGUAGUUUCCUAGGUUGGUAUAACAUGACACUUUCGGUUCUCACAUCAACUAUUUCUAAAGGUCAAAGAGGGGGUCAGUCGGGUUCUAAUGAGUGUUUCUUUAGGUUCACGGUACAGAA